AGAGGGUGCGUCCGCAAGAACGCGCGACCUCCUCGUCUCACGUCUCUCCCACUCCCGAAACCUGCGCCACCGGCGCCGCUGCCGCCGAAAUCCGCAGUGGUGCACAUCCCGCCGAUCCUCUUGACGCUCUCCCUCUCCUCCUUGGCCAGGUGCAUCUCGAAGGCUUUGUUGGCGCGGUGGAGGGCCUUGCCGUCGGCAUCCGGGGACCUGUCCCAGGGGACAUGUAGCCCUCCCGCUCCUCGCCUCCACCCUUGUCGGGGCCGGUGGCACCGAGGACAGCAGCAAGGCAAGCGUCAGAUUUGAAGAAACAAGAUGCUUGGAGGGAUACAAUAUUUUGUAGUUUUUCUUGUGAGCUUACUAUGAUUAGUUUAAUCAUCUAUCCUUAUUUGUUUUCUGAUGAUGAUGCUAUCUAUCCUAGUUUGAUUAUCCAUGGUGAUUACUGGGGGGGGGGGGUAUCAAAAGGCCCUGUGAGGUAUCAAGUUUACAACUGGAAGAAGCUAGCGGUUCCUUGGAAGAAGCUACCAGUUCUUGUUUAUUCGUGAUGAUGUAAUACAAUUCUAAUUUGAAUAUUUGAUUGAUGAUAGAAGAUACGGUUGUUCUGAGUAUUAAUGCCCUUUUUAACUUU